GACGAACGCUGGCGGCGUGCUUAAUACAUGCAAGUCAACUGAACUUUAGGUAGCAAUAUUUAAAGGGAGGUGGCGCACGGGUGAGUAACACGUAGGUAAUCUGCCUUCAGAACUGACAUAACUCCGCGAAAGCGGGACUAAAAUCAGAUGAUGCAGCGGCUCGACAUCGAGACAGUUGUUAAACCUUCGGGGCCUGAAGAUGAGCCUGCGUCUGAUUAGGUAGUUGGAGGGGUAAUGGCCCACCAAGCCUGCGAUCAGUAGCUGGUCUGAGAGGAUGAUCAGCCACACUGGAACUGAGACACGGUCCAGACUCCUACGGGAGGCAGCAGUAAGGAAUAUUGCUCAAUGGCCGAAAGGCUGAAGCAGCAACGCCGCGUGGAGGAUGAAAUACUUUAGUAUGUAAACUCCUGUAAGAGGGGAAAAAUAUACAGUUCUGCUGUAUUGAUUGUACCCUCAGAGUAAGCACCGGCUAACUACG
rnacentral:rRNA from 1 species